CCUACGUGUGGCAGCAGUGAGGAAUAUUGGUCAAUGGGCGAGAGCCUGAACCAGCCAAGUCGCGUGAGGGAAGACGGUCCUAUGGAUUGUAAACCUCUUUUGCCGGGGAGCAAAAAGCGGUACGUGUACAGCAUCAAGAGUCCCCGGAGAACAAGCAUCGGCUAACUACGUGCCAGCAGCCGCGGUAAUACGGAGGAUGCGAGCGUUGUCAGGCUUUAUUGGGGUUAACGGGUGCGCAGGCGGAGAGUUAAGUCAGCGGGAAAAGUUCGGGGCUCAACCCCGACAAGCCGUUGAAGCUGGCGUGCUAGAGUGGUCGAGAAGGAUGCGGAAUGCGGGGUGUAGCGGUGAAAUGCAUAGAUAUCACGCAGAACUCCGAUUGCGAAGGCAGCAUACCGGCGCCCAACUGACGCUCAGGCACGAAAGCGUGGGUAUCGAACAGGAUUAGAUACCCUGGUAGUC
rnacentral:rRNA from 1 species